UUUAUCAGGAACAGCU
rnacentral:miRNA from 1 species